GACAUGUGGGGCAAGCGUUGUUCGGAAUCACUGGGCAUAAAGGGUGCGUAGGCGGCUUGUUAAGUCAGAGGUGAAAGUUUUCGGCCCAACCGGAAAAUAGCCUUUGAUACUGGCGAGCUGGAGUGCGUGAGGGGUGACUGGAACGAGUGGUGUAGCGGUGAAAUGCGUAGAUAUCACUCGGAAGGCCAAAGGCGAAGGCAGGUCACUGGUACGCAACUGACGCUGAGGCACGAAAGCGUGGGGAGCAAACAGG
rnacentral:rRNA from 1 species